rnacentral:rRNA from 1 species
UACAGGGGGUGCAAACGUUGCUCGGAAUUAUUGGGCGUAAAGCGCGCGUAGGCGGCUACUUAAGUCGGAUGUGAAAGCCCUUGGCUCAACUGAGGAAGUGCACCCGAAACUGAGUGGCUUGAGUACUAAAGAGGGUCGCGGAAUUCCCGGUGUAGAGGUGAAAUUCGUAGAUAUCGGGAGGAACACCGGAGGCGAAGGCGGAUCACUGGACUGCCACUGACGCUGAGGCGCGAAAGCUAGGGGAGCAAACAGG